UGACAGUGCAGUUCCUGCAUCUCAGGAGCAAGAGCUUGCAAAUAACACCCACAAACAGGCCAUCUGUCUGAGUGAAGGAAGCGGGGGUGGAAGGAUCGUCAGCUUUCAUACCUCAAGGCUGGGUCUUCAGGAAGCACCGGCCUUCACACAAGGUCAGACAGCAAGUCCACAAGUGCUCCAGAGGGAAGUGAGAUAACCAGCCUUUCCAGUUUGUUGGAGAAGAGGCCACAAGAGCAGGGAAUGCUGGGAGCUCUCGGUGGGCCAGGCGAGAUCUGUGGGGAGGCUGCUAAGGUGCCAACUCACGCCUGGGUGUGUUCUCCACAACCACAUCUGACAGUGGUGUGUGUGAGCUCAGCGAGUGUCAGCAGGUCCUUAAUAACCAGGGUGGAGGUGGGUGGAUCACAGGGCGAGACAUCUCAUGCUUUCCAGUGGUUGUUAUCGCUGAAGCUAAGUAUGUGAAACACUGAAUGAAUUCUAAUCCACUUCUGACAAUGUUGUAUUUCUGGACCUAUUGCA